AGUGAACGCUGGCGGUAGGCCUAACACAUGCAAGUCGAACGGCAGCACAGUAAGAGCUUGCUCUUACGGGAGGCGAGUGGCGGACGGGUGAGGAAUACAUCGGAAUCUACUUUUUCGUGGGGGAUAACGUAGGGAAACUUACGCUAAUACCGCAUACGACCUACGGGUGAAAGCAGGGGAUCUUCGGACCUUGCGCGAUUGAAUGAGCCGAUGUCGGAUUAGCUAGUUGGCGGGGUAAAGGCCCACCAAGGCGACGAUCCGUAGCUGGUCUGAGAGGAUGGACAGCCAGACUGGCUGUGAGGCACGGUCCAGACUCCUGCGGGAGGACGCAGUGCGGAAUAUUGGAGGAGGGGGGCGAGGCGGAUCCAGCCAUACCGGGUGGGUGAAGAAGGCGUUAGGGUUGGAAAGCCAUUUUGUUGGGAAAGAAAAGCAGCAGUUUAAUACCCCGCUGUUCUGACGGUACCCAAAGAAUAAGCACCGGCUAACUUCGUG
rnacentral:rRNA from 1 species